rnacentral:rRNA from 1 species
UAUAACCGGCGAUUUCCGAAUGGGGAAACCCAGUGUGACUCGUCACACUAUCAUUAACUGAAUCCAUAGGUUAAUGAGGCGAACCGGGGGAACUGAAACAUCUAAGUACCCCGAGGAAAAGAAAUCAACCGAGAUUCCCCCAGUAGCGGCGAGCGAACGGGGAGGAGCCCAGAGCCUGAAUCAGCAUGUGUGUUAGUGGAAGCGUCUGGAAAGGCGCGCGAUACAGGGUGACAGCCCCGUACACAAAAGCGCAUGUGCUGUGAGCUCGAUGAGUAGGGCGGGACACGUGGUAUCCUGUCUGAAUAUGGGGGGACCAUCCUCCAAGGCUAAAUACUCCUGACUGACCGAUAGUGAACCAGUACCGUGAGGGAAAGGCGAAAAGAACCCCGGCGAGGGGAGUGAAAAAGAACCUGAAACCGUGUACGUACAAGCAGUGGGAGCACAGG